rnacentral:rRNA from 1 species
UACGAAGGGGGCUAGCGUUGCUCGGAAUUACUGGGCGUAAAGCGCACGUAGGCGGAUCUUUAAGUCAGGGGUGAAAUCCUGGAGCUCAACUCCAGAACUGCCUUUGAUACUGAGGACCUUGAGUUCGGGAGAGGUGAGUGGAACUGCGAGUGUAGAGGUGAAAUUCGUAGAUAUUCGCAAGAACACCAGUGGCGAAGGCGGCUCACUGGCCCGGUACUGACGCUGAGGUGCGAAAGCGUGGGGAGCAAACAGGG